CCUACGGGAGGCAGCAGUGGGGAAUAUUGGACAAUGGAGGCAACUCUGACCCAGCAACGCCGCGUGAGUGAUGAAGGUCUUCGGAUUGUAAAGUUCUGUGAUGGGGGAUGAACACGAUGACGGUACCACAAUAACAAGCCACGGCUAACUACGUGCCAGCCGCCGCGGUACUACGUAGGUGGCAAGCGUUAUACGGAAUGACUGGGCGUAAAGGGUGCGUAGGUGGUAGAGUAAGUGUGCGGUGUAAUUCCGGGGCUCAACCUCGGCGCUACCGCCAAAACUAUUAGGCUAGAGUGCAGGAGGGGUAAGUGGAAGUCCUAGUGUAGCGGUGGAAUGCGUAGAUAUUAGGAGGAACAUCAGUGGCGAAGGCGACUUACUGGACUGUAACUGACACUGAGGCACGAAAGCGUGGGGAGCAAACAGGAUUAGAUACCCGGGUAGUC
rnacentral:rRNA from 1 species